rnacentral:rRNA from 1 species
GAUGAACGCUGGCGGCGUGCUUAACACAUGCAAGUCGAACGGUGAACGAGGGAGCUUGCUCCCUCCGGAUCAGAGGCGAACGGGUGAGUAACACGUGAGCAACAUGCCCUGGACUCUGGGAUAAGCGAUGGAAACGACGACUAAUACCGGAUACGAGGCGUGGGGGCAUCCCAAACGCCUGGAAAGAACUUCGGUCCAGGAUGAGCUCGCGGCCUAUCAGCUAGUUGGUGAGGUAAGGGCUCACCAAGGCGACGACGGGUAGCCGGCCUGAGAGGGUGACCGGCCACACUGGGACUGAGACACGGCCCAGACUCCUACGUGAGGCAGCAGUGGGGAAUAUUGCACAAUGGGCGCAAGCCUGAUGCAGCAACGCCGCGUGAGGGACGACGGCCUUCGGGUUGUAAACCUCUUUUAGCAGGGAAGAAGCGAAAGUGACGGUACCUGCAGAAAAAGCACCGGCUAACUACGUGCCAGCCGCCGCAGUAAUAC